GGAGGGAUGGCCGAGUGGUUGAAGGCGCACGCUUGGAAAGCGUGUUUACUUAAUUGUAACGAGGGUUCGAAUCCCUCUCCCUCUU
rnacentral:tRNA from 3 species